UUUACAAUGGAGAGUUUGAUCCUGGCUCAGGAUGAACGCUAGCUACAGGCUUAACACAUGCAAGUCGAGGGGAAACGAUAUUGGAAGCUUGCUUCCGAUAGGCGUCGACCGGCGCACGGGUGAGUAA
rnacentral:rRNA from 1 species